GUGCCAGCCGCCGCGGUAAAACGUAGGACACGAACGUUAUCCGGAGUUACUGGGCGUAAAGCGCGCGCAGGCGGUUGUUCAAGUUACCUAUGAAAGUUAUCGGCUAAACUGGUAAUGGUUAGGUGAAACUGGAUGACUAGAGAGAAAUAGAGGGAAGUAGAAUUCCGGGUGUAGUGGUGAAAUGCGUAGAUAUCCGGAGGAAUACCGGUGGCGAAGGCGGCUUCCUGGAUUUCCACUGACGCUGAGGCGCGAAAGCGUGGGUAGCGAACGGGAUUAGAAACCCCGGUAGUCCACGCCGUAAACGAUGUACAUUAAGCGUUCGGCUACGAUGGUAGUUGAGUGUUGCAGCAAACGCGAUAAAUGUACCGCCUGGGGAGUACGGUCGCAAGGCUAAAACUCAAAUGAAUUGGCGG
rnacentral:rRNA from 1 species